rnacentral:tRNA from 1 species
GCAAAAAAGAUUAUUUAUCGAGAGGGAUUUGAAAUCCCUUUUUAUUGUUGGUUAACAAGUUUUGCU